rnacentral:rRNA from 1 species
AUUCAACGCUGGCGGCGUGCCUAACACAUGCAAGUCGAACGCGAAAGCCCGUUUCGGGGGUCAGUAGAGUGGCGUCCGGGUGAGUAACACGUAGGUAAUCUACCUCUGGGUGGGGAAUAACUCGUCGAAAGGCGAGCUAAUACCGCAUAAUGCAGCGGCACCGAAUGGUGAUUAGUUGUUAAAGCGGGGGACCGAAAGGCCUCGCGCCUAGAGAGGAGCCUGCGGCAGAUUAGGCUUGNGGUGAGGUAAUGGCUCACCAAGGCUUCGAUCUGUAGCUGGUCUGAGAGGACGGCCAGCCACACUGGCACUGACACACGGCCAGACUCCUACGGGAGGCAGCAGUGGGAAUUUUGGGCAAUGGGCGAAAGCCUGACCCAGCAACGCCGCGUGAGUG